GGACCAUCUCCCAAGGCUAAAUACUCCCUAGUGACCGAUAGUGAACCAGUACCGUGAGGGAAAGGUGAAAAGCACCCCGGAAGGGGAGUGAAACAGUUCCUGAAACCGUGUGCCUACAAGUAGUUAGAGCCCGUUAAUGGGUGAUAGCGUGCCUUUUGUAGAAUGAACCGGCGAGUUACGAUUUGUUGCAAGGUUAAGCGGAAAAAGCGGAGCCGUAGCGAAAGCGAGUCUGAAUAGGGCGCAUAAGUAACAGGUCGUAGACCCGAAACCAGGUGAUCUACCCAUGUCCAGGAUGAAGGUAAGGUAAUACUUACUGGAGGUCCGAACCCACGCACGUUGAAAAGUGCGGGGAUGAGGUGUGGGUAGCGGAGAAAUUCCAAUCGAACUUGGAGAUAGCUGGUUCUCUCCGAAAUAGCUUUAGGGCUAGCCUCGAGGUAAAGAGUCAUGGAGGUAGAGCACUGUUUGGACUAGGGGCCCUUCUCGGGUUACCGAAUUCAGAUAAAC
rnacentral:rRNA from 1 species